rnacentral:rRNA from 1 species
AGCAGUCGCCGCGGGAAUACGUAGGUGGCAAGCGUUGUCCGGAAUUAUUGGGCGUAAAGCGCGCGCAGGCGGUUUCUUAAGUCUGAUGUGAAAGCCCCCGGCUUAACCGGGGAGGGUCAUUGGAAACUGGGAGACUUAGAGUGCAGAAGAGGAGAGUGGAAUUCCAUGUGUAGCGGCGAAAUGCGUAGAUAUAUGGAGGAACACCAGUGGCGAAGGCGACUCUCUGGUCUGUAACUGACGCUGAGGCGCGAAAGCGUGGGGAGCAAACAGGAUUAGAUACCCGCGUAGUCCCUGUCUCUUAUU